rnacentral:rRNA from 1 species
GGGCGAAAACUUUACAAUGCUGGCAACAGCGAUAAGGGAACCUCGAGUGCCAGGUUACAAAUCUGGCUGUCGAGAUGCCUAAAAAGCAUUUCAUAGCAAGGGCCGGGCAAGACUGGUGCCAGCCGCCGCGGUAACACCGGCGGCUCGAGUGGUAACCGUUAUUAUUGGGUCUAAAGGGUCCGUAGCCGGCCGGAUAAGUCUCUUGAGAAAUCUGGCAGCUUAACUGUCAGGCUUUCAGGAGAUACUGUCUGGCUCGAGGCCGGGAGAGGUGAGAGGUACUUCAGGGGUAGGGUGAAAUCUUGUAAUCCUUGAAGGACCACCAGUGGCGAAGGCGUCUCACCAGAACGGACCUGACGGCAAGGGACGAAAGCUAGGGGCACGAACCGGAUUAGAGACCCU